AUUGAACGCUGGCGGCAUGCCUUACACAUGCAAGUCGAACGGCGGCACGGGGGCAACCCUGGUGGCGAGUGGCGAACGGGUGAGUAACAUAUCGGAACGUGCCCUGGAGUGGGGGAUAACUAGUCGAAAGAUUAGCUAAUACCGCAUACGAUCUACGGAUGAAAGUGGGGGAUCGCAAGACCUCAUGCUCGUGGAGCGGCCGAUAUCUGAUUAGCUAGUUGGUGGGGAAAGGCCCACCAAGGCAUCGAUCAGUAGCUGGUCUGAGAGGACGACCAGCCACACUGGGACUGAGACACGGCCCAGACUCCUACGGGAGGCAGCAGUGGGGAAUUUUGGACAAUGGGCGCAAGCCUGAUCCAGCAAUGCCGCGUGAGUGAAGAAGGCC
rnacentral:rRNA from 1 species